rnacentral:lncRNA from 1 species
UGUUCGGUGAGGAGGCACGGCGUUCCUUGCGGUUAGAAUGGGAUCGUGCGCAUGGUUUCCGAAAAAAUACAGGGGUAAUGGGAUGUACCUGACGUCACAACAAAUGCGAUCAGUUUGUGUCUCGUCUGCCGCGCACCCCUUAUAAAGUGAAAGAGCUUUCCUCGUUGGUUUCACCCCGCGCUUGCCUUCAGCUUUCUUGCCUCCUUGCCCACUCUUCGUCUCUUUUCGAGCCGGAGCAGUCG